AUUGAACGCUGGCGGCAGGCCUAACACAUGCAAGUCGAGCGGAAACGAAGGGAGCUUGCUCCCAGGCGUCGAGCGGCGGACGGGUGAGUAACACGUGAGAAUCUGCCCAUUAGUGGGGGACAACUCGGGGAAACUCGAGCUAAUACCGCAUAAUCCCUACGGGGGAAAGCAGGGGACCUUUUGGCCUUGCGCUGAUGGCUGAGCUCUCGUCGGAUUAGCUGGUUGGUGAGGUAAAGGCUAACCGAGGCGACGAUCCGGAGCUGGUCUGAGAGGAUGAUCAGCCACACUGGGACUGAGACACGGCACGGACCCCUACGGGAGGCAGCAGUGGGGAAUCUUGGACAAGGGGGGCAACCCUGAUCCAGCCAUGCCGCUUGUGUGAAGAAGGCCUACGGGUUGUAAAGCGCUUUCAGCAGGGAGGAAGGCUUUGGCCGAAUAGGUUGAAGUACUUGACGUUACCUGCAGAAGAAGCACCGGCUAAUUUCGUGCCAGCAGCCGCCGUAA
rnacentral:rRNA from 1 species